rnacentral:tRNA from 1 species
GGGGCUGUAGCUCAGAGGUAGAGCGCUUGCCUAGCCUAGCAGGGGUGAGGCACUGGGUUCGAUCCUCAGCACCACA